GACAGCAUAGCUCAAUGGUAGAGCAUUGGUUUCAUAAUCCAGUUGUUAGUAGUUCAAAUCUACUUGUUGUCA
rnacentral:tRNA from 2 species